ACGCUAGCUACAGGCUUAACACAUGCAAGUCGAGGGGCAUCAGGAAGAAAGCUUGCUUUCUUUGCUGGCGACCGGCGCACGGGUGAGUAACACGUAUCCAACCUGCCCUUUACUCGGGGAUAGCCUUUCGAAAGAAAGAUUAAUACCCGAUGGCAUAAUGAUUCCGCAUGGUUUCAUUAUUAAAGGAUUCCGGUAAAGGAUGGGGAUGCGUUCCAUUAGGUUGUUGGUGAGGUAACGGCUCACCAAGCCUUCGAUGGAUAGGGGUUCUGAGAGGAAGGUCCCCCACAUUGGAACUGAGACACGGUCCAAACUCCUACGGGAGGCAGCAGUGAGGAAUAUUGGUCAAUGGGCGCUAGCCUGAACCAGCCAAGUAGCGUGAAGGAUGAAGGCUCUAUGGGUCGUAAACUUCUUUUAUAUAAGAAUAAAGUGCAGUAUGUAUACUGUUUUGUAUGUAUUAUAUGAAUAAGGAUCGGCUAACUCCGUGCCAGCAGCCGCGGUAAUACGGAGGAUCCGAGCGUUAUCCGGAUUUAUUGGGUUUAAAGGGAGCGUAGGUGGACUGGUAAGUCAGUUGUGAAAGUUUGCGGCUCAACCGUAAAAUUGCAGUUGAUACUGUCAGUCUUGAGUACAGUAGAGGUGGGCGGAAUUCGUGGUGUAGCGGUGAAAUGCUUAGAUAUCACGAAGAACUCCGAUUGCGAAGGCAGCUCACUGGACUGCAACUGACACUGAUGCUCGAAAGUGUGGGUAUCAAACAGGAUUAGAUACCCUGGUAGUCCACACAGUAAACGAUGAAUACUCGCUGUUUGCGAUAUACAGUAAGCGGCCAAGCGAAAGCAUUAAGUAUUCCACCUGGGGAGUACGCCGGCAACGGUGAAACUCAAAGGAAUUGACGGGGGCCCGCACAAGCGGAGGAACAUGUGGUUUAAUUCGAUGAUACGCGAGGAACCUUACCCGGGCUUAAAUUGCAGUGGAAUGAUGUGGAAACAUGUCAGUGAGCAAUCACCGCUGUGAAGGUGCUGCAUGGUUGUCGUCAGCUCGUGCCGUGAGGUGUCGGCUUAAGUGCCAUAACGAGCGCAACCCUUAUCUUUAGUUACUAACAGGUUAUGCUGAGGACUCUAGAGAGACUGCCGUCGUAAGAUGUGAGGAAGGUGGGGAUGACGUCAAAUCAGCACGGCCCUUACGUCCGGGGCUACACACGUGUUACAAUGGGGGGUACAGAAGGCAGCUAGCGGGUGACCGUAUGCUAAUCCCAAAAGCCUCUCUCAGUUCGGAUCGAAGUCUGCAACCCGACUUCGUGAAGCUGGAUUCGCUAGUAAUCGCGCAUCAGCCACGGCGCGGUGAAUACGUUCCCGGGCCUUGUACACACCGCCCGUCAAGCCAUGGGAGCCGGGGGUACCUGAAGUACGUAACCGCAAGGAUCGUCCUAGGGUAAAACUGGUGACUGG
rnacentral:rRNA from 1 species